rnacentral:rRNA from 1 species
GCGGCGUGCUUACACAUGCAAGUCGAACGAACCUUCGGGUUAGUGGCGGACGGGUGAGUAACGCGUGAGAAUCUGCCCUCAGGAGGGGGACAACAGCUGGAAACGGCUGCUAAUACCCCAUAUGCCGCGAGGUGAAAUGAAUUUCGCCUGAGGAUGAGCUCGCGUCUGAUUAGCUAGUUGGUGUAGGUAAUGGCUCACCAAGGCAUCGAUCAGUAGCUGGUCUGAGAGGAUGAUCAGCCACACUGGGACUGAGACACGGCCCAGACUCCUACGGGAGGCAGCAGUGGGGAAUUUUCCGCAAUGGGCGAAAGCCUGACGGAGCAACGCCGCGUGAGGGAUGAAGGCCUCUGGGCUGUAAACCUCUUUUAUCAAGGAAGAAGAUCUGACGGUACUUGAUGAAUAAGCCACGGCUAAUUCCGUGCCAGCAGCCGCGGUAAUACGGGAGUGGCAAGCGUUAUCCGGAAUUAUUGGGCGUAAAGCGUCCGCAGGCGGCCCUUCAAGUCUGCUGUUAAAAAGUGGAGCUUAACUCCAUCAUGGCAGUGGAAACUGUUGGGCU